UACGUAGGGUGCGAGCGUUGUCCGGAUUUAUUGGGCGUAAAGAGCUCGUAGGCGGUUUGUCGCGUCGGCCGUGAAAUCUCCACGCUUAACGUGGAGCGUGCGGUCGAUACGGGCAGACUUGAGUUCGGUAGGGGAGACUGGAAUUCCUGGUGUAGCGGUGAAAUGCGCAGAUAUCAGGAGGAACAUCGGUGGCGAAGGCGGGUCUCUGGGCCGAUACUGACGCUGAGGAGCGAAAGCGUGGGGAGCGAACAGG
rnacentral:rRNA from 1 species